UGUUCCCAUACAAUCACUGAAGUUAAGCAAUGUUAAGCCUGGUCAAUACCUAGAUGGGUAACUACUUGGGAAGACCAGGUGCUGUAA